AAUUUGAAAAACAAAGGAAUAUCUACUAUAAUCGUACCGCAGCCCAUCGAGGGACUCUUCCUUGGAAAAAAAGACGUUAAAAUGGGAAUAAGAGGGUCUUCAACUUGCGAUUUCAUCUUCGAAGAUUGCAAGGUGCCAAGGGAAAAUUUGCUGGGAGAUUUCGGACUUGGUUUCAAAAUAGCUUUAUCCAGCCUUGAUUCGAGCAGAAUAGGAAUAGCGAGUCAAGCGUUAGGCAUUGCCCAAGCUUGCUUGGAACUUGCCACGGA